ACGAACGCUGGCGGCGUGCUUAACCCAUGCCAGUCGAACGGAAAGGCCCCUUUGGGGGUACUCGAGUGGCGAACGGGUGAGUAACACGUGAGUAACCUGCCCUUGACUUCGGGAUAACUUCAGGAAACUGGGGCUAAUACCGGAUAGGAAUCCUUGCUGCAUGGUGGGGGUUGGAAAGCUUCGGCGGUUUUGGAUGGACUCGCGGCUUAUCAGCUUGUUGGUGGGGUAGUGGCUUACCAAGGCUUUGACGGGUAGCCGGCCUGAGAGGGCGACCGGCCACAUUGGGACUGAGAUACGGCCCAGACUCCUACGGGAGGCAGCAGUGGGGAAUAUUGCACAAUGGGCGGAAGCCUGAUGCAGCAACGCCGCGUGCGGGAUGACGGCCUUCGGGUUGGAAACCGCUUUCAGCAGGGGCGAAGCUUGUGGUGACGGUACCUGCAGAAGAAGCACCGGCUAACUACGUG
rnacentral:rRNA from 1 species